rnacentral:rRNA from 1 species
UACGAAGGGGACUAGCGUUGUUCGGAAUCACUGGGCGUAAAGCGCACGUAGGCGGCUGUGUCAGUCAGGGGUGAAAUCCCGGGGCUCAACCUCGGAACUGCCUUUGAUACAGCACGUCUCGAGUCCGGAAGAGGUGGGUGGAAUUCCUAGUGUAGAGGUGAAAUUCGUAGAUAUUAGGAAGAACACCGGUGGCGAAGGCGGCCCACUGGUCCGGUACUGACGCUGAGGUGCGAAAGCGUGGGGAGCAAACAGG